UUCUCUUUCUCCUGAAUUUAGAAUAGAUCUAGGGUUUCUAAAUUUCCUGAAGUUUGUUCCUCCGGUGAACUCCGCCACUGCCGCCGCCGUGCUCGUCGCGCCGCCACCCCCUCUGAUUCAGGAAUCGGUGAUUCAAGAUGGUUUGAGAUGGUUUCAUCGGCAGUUCAUCUACAGCCCAAGACUCUGUUUUUAUAAGACUCAGCCUUCUGUUUGGAUUAUUAUUAAUUUAUAAACUGUUGUAACUAGAUGUAUUCUGUAGAUGUUAAAGAAAAUUGAUGUUAUCUCUGCUAUUCUUGAUUACCAUCUAUGAGUGAUUACUGAGUUGAAGGAAGAA